UACGUAGGGGGCGAGCGUUGUCCGGAUUUAUUGGGCGUAAAGCGCACGUAGGCGGAUCUUUAAGUCAGGGGUGAAAUCCUGGAGCUCAACUCCAGAACUGCCUUUGAUACUGAGGAUCUUGAGUCCGGGAGAGGUGAGUGGAACUCCGAGUGUAGAGGUGAAAUUCGUAGAUAUUCGGAAGAACACCAGUGGCGAAGGCGGCUCACUGGCCCGGUACUGACGCUGAGGUGCGAAAGCGUGGGGAGCAAACAGG
rnacentral:rRNA from 1 species